AGAAAAAUGUUAACCAUGCUUGGAUAAUUCAACCAUAUUUCCAGCCUUUAUUGCCACAGGUUUAAACGAGUAUGCAUCUUUAUUGAGCAUGAAGACUAAAAAAACUCACUGAAAGGAAAUGCAGCAGCAAAGAAGAGAUGAGAAAUCAAAUCUUCCACUUUUUUCUUUUCUUUAAAUCCAUAAAAGAUGAGGAUGAUGAAAUUUGAAGGUUCACAUUUCAUUACUGGUCUUAAACUAUAAUAUAGCUGUUAACAAAUUAAAUAAA